rnacentral:rRNA from 1 species
CCUACGGGUGGCAGCAGUGAGGAAUAUUGGUCAAUGGACGAGAGUCUGAACCAGCCAAGUAGCGUGAAGGAUGACUGCCCUAUGGGUUGUAAACUUCUUUUAUAAAGGAAUAAAACGAGGCACGUGUGCCUUUUUGUAUGUACUUUAUGAAUAAGGAUCGGCUAACUCCGUGCCAGCAGCCGCGGUAAUACGGAGGAACCGAGCGUUAUCCGGAUUUAUUGGGUUUAAAGGGAGCGUAGUUGGGUUGUUAAGUCAGUUGUGAAAGUUUGCGGCUCAACCGUAAAAUUGCAAUUGAUACUGGCAGUCUUGAGUACAGUUGAGGUAGGCGGAAUUCGUGGUGUAGCGGUGAAAUGCUUAGAUAUCACGAAGAACCCCGAUUGCGAAGGCAGCUUACUAAACUGUGACUGACAUUGAUGCUCGAAAGUGUGGGUAUCAAACAGGAGUAGAUACCCCAGUAGUC